UGCACUAUAGUUUAAAAAAAACAUUAGAUUGUGAAUCUAAUAAUAGAAGUUUACUACCUUCUUGUGUAC
rnacentral:tRNA from 1 species